AGAGUGAACGCUGGCGGUAGGCCUAACACAUGCAAGUCGAACGGCAGCACAGUAGGAGCUUGCUCUUACGGGUGGCGAGUGGCGGACGGGUGAGGAAUACAUCGGAAUCUACCUUUUGGUGGGGGAUAACGUAGGGAAACUUACGCUAAUACCGCAUACGCCCUUCGGGGGAAAGCCGGGGACCAGCAAUGGCCUGGCGCUGAUAGAUGAGCCGAUGUCGGAUUAGCUAGUUGGUGAGGUAAUGGCUCACCAAGGCGACGAUCCGUAGCUGGUCUGAGAGGAUGAUCAGCCACACUGGAACUGAGACACGGUCCAGACUCCUACGGGAGGCAGCAGUGGGGAAUAUUGGACAAUGGGCGCAAGCCUGAUCCAGCCAUACCGCGUGGUGAAGAAGGCCUUGGUGUAAAGCCGUUUUGUAGGAAAGAAAGCAUUACGGUUAAUACCCGGGUGUUCUAGACCGUACCAAAGAAUAAGACACCGG
rnacentral:rRNA from 1 species